UAGGGUGUAGCUCAGUGGUAGAGUGCUUGCCUAGCAUACAUGAGACCCUGGGUUCAGUUCCUUGCACUGGAA
rnacentral:tRNA from 1 species